rnacentral:rRNA from 1 species
UACGUAGGGUGCGAGCGUUAAUCGGAAUUACUGGGCGUAAAGCGUGCGCAGGCGGUGAUGUAAGACCGAUGUGAAAUCCCCGGGCUUAACCUGGGAACUGCAUUGGUGACUGGCAGGCUUUGAGUGUGGCAGAGGGAGGUAGAAUUCCACGUGUAGCAGUGAAAUGCGUAGAGAUGUGGAGGAAUACCGAUGGCGAAGGCAGCCUCCUGGGCCAACACUGACGCUCAUGCACGAAAGCGUGGGAGCAAACAGG